rnacentral:rRNA from 1 species
AUACGUAGGGUGCGAGCGUUGUCCGGAAUUACUGGGCGUAAAGAGCUCGUAGGUGGUUUGUCGCGUCGUCUGUGAAAUUCCGGGGCUUAACUCCGGGCGUGCAGGCGAUACGGGCAUAACUUGAGUACUGUAGGGGAGACUGGAAUUCCUGGUGUAGCGGUGAAAUGCGCAGAUAUCAGGAAGAACACCGGUGGCGAAGGCGGGUCUCUGGGCAGUAACUGACGCUGAGGAGCGAAAGCAUGGGUAGCGAACAGGAUUAGAUACCCUGGUAGUCCAUGCCGUAAACGGUGGGCGCUAGGUGUAGGGGUCUUCCACGACUUCUGUGCCGUAGCUAACGCAUUAAGCGCCCCGCCUGGGGAGUACGGCCGCAAGGCUAAAACUCAAAGGAAUUGACGGGG